rnacentral:misc_RNA from 1 species
CUUAGAGAACGGUAGUUGUUUGAUGGUGUCUAUGACUUCGUGAUUCGUGACUGUGAAUUGUAAAGUAUACUUAAAGUUUUAUACGAUAAAUGUGUUCCACAUAUUAAAAUAUUGUAUGAGGCAAAUCAUUUGUUUCAUAACCAAAUAUCAAAUCUCGAUGUAGAAUUAACUCAAUCGUCUUAUAGAUAUAAAUAUAUACCGGCAAAGCAAAGUUAGGGCCAAACAAACCCCUCGUAACACUUAACUUGGGGACCAGUGGCUUAAAGAUGACUUCCAAACUACCGCCAAUGACCGGGUAGGCGAACUGUUUAUGAAGACAGGAUUGCUCAGCAGUUCCAAACAGCAGCCAAACAAUACUUUGCGUGAUUCGGUUAUAUCGAGACAACUACUGUACCCGCUAUACUGUGUUAUUGAACUGAACUAUGGAUAUAGACAUUCCCCUUCCUGGGGAAGAAGUUCCCCUGAGUGAAAUAGAACCACCAGACAUUCCUAUGCCAGAUGAUCCUCCAGAACCUUUCAGAGGAUCUCCUGUCUCCACUCCAGCCAUUUCUGCCGAGUCUACUCUAUCAGAGCCAUCUCAAGAGGAUCCUGAAGAUAUAGAUCCUGUUCUUCCAUCUGAGCCUGGACCAUUCUCAACUGCAACAGAUGAUGAGUCUUAUGAUCCUAAUAGGUAUUCACCAAGUGUGCCAAUGGAAGAAGAUGAUCUUCCGGUGGCAGAAGUGUCUAAUGUUCCUCCUCUUUUACCUCCGCCUCCACCUCCACCUUCUCUUGCCCCGUUACCCUCUACCAGCAACCCUGCUCUUCUCUCUUCAUCUCCAACACCUUCUUCCACUCAAACACGAAGCCUAGUACUGGGUAAGACCCAAGCCAAAAAACGUCUUUUAGCUUUUUCAAUGACAAAACAGGGUGGGGGCACUGGUGUCUCUUUUAAUCUUGCAAAAAAACCAACCAUCAGCAAAGAGAGUGCUAAAGGAUUUUCGGAUGAGAAAGAGGACGCAAAGAAGAAACCUUCAAAGAAAGGAACUGUAGACAAGGCAAGAGAUACAAUAAGUGAGAUAGAAGAGCUAAAACGUAAAGAAAUGCAAAUGAUAGAAAAUAUGCAGACCAUGCAUCCUCAUUGGGGAAUGCUAGAUACUCACAACCUCCCAGCUUCUCUGCCCUUCCAACUAGUUGGGGAAGUAUUAGCAAAGAAGAUGAAACGUGAAACUGAAAGGAAGGAGAAAGAUCGGAGUAGAAGUCGCAGUGGAGAUAGAAGAAGAAAUAAAUCUAAAAGAUCUGAUAAGGAUAAGGAAAGGUCAAAGAAAAAGAAAACCUUGCCUAACAAUUGGAAUGAAUUUAAAAAAGAAGGACAUAAAAUACGACACUUUCGCCGUUUCAAAUUUGAAGUUGAGAAGGAUAAUCUACGAGAAAAGAAACGUCACAAAAGAAGUCGUAGCAGAUCAAGAUCAAGAGAUAGAUCAAAGAAAGAUAAAAGUCCUUCCAAAAAAGGAAGCCGGAUUAAUCUACUAGAAACACCUAUGAUUGUCAAGAAGGUAUUGGUGGCAGUUGAUGUUCGUGGGACAAAAGAUGUUGAGUUCCCAGAGUACCUAGUGCGUUAUACCAAAACAAGGCCUCCUAUAAACUACUGUGAAAAUCCCAGCCAGGCCACCUAUCAUCUUGUCAAUCGCAAACAGAUGAUGUCAACUUUACCAAGGGAUAUUGAGGAGAUAAUUGUACAUUUUCUUAACAGUAUGCGGCCUAAACGAUUAAGGCAGAAAAACAAAGUUAAUGAAGUGAAUGAGGGGGUGAAGAAUUUUGUCGAGCCUUUUAAUCCAUGCCGAGAUGUGGGGGAAAUAAUUACUUCUGGUGACAAAACUUUCCUCAAUGAUGAAGAGGUUUGUAAAUCAGAAGUCUCUGAUGUACAACAUGAGGCUAGUGAUCUGAAAAUAGAUUUAAAUAAAGAAGAAGUAAAUCUAAUUCUUGAUAGUAUAGCUAAAGUCAAUCCAAGUGGAAAUAUAGUUGAUGAAAAUAAUGAAAGUGAGGAAAUGAAGAAAAUGAAUAAAGAAGAAGAAGAAGAAUGUGUUAGCAUUGAUCCAGGGGAAUCAGAUGAAGUAGCUGAUAGUAAAGUUAACAGUGAAGAAAUUAAAUUAGCAAAAGAAAGAAAUACAAAUAGCAACAAAGAUGAUGACAGUAAGAUUUGUAAUCUUGAGCAUCGCAGCUGGUAUCAGAAGAUCAGUGAUUGGAUGUUUGUUUCUAUUCCCUUACAUGAAGAAGACGAUAUAGAAAUUGAGGAAUUGGCUUUAUUACCAAAUGUAGUGGAAGUUGAUCAGUAUAAUGACAAAGAGUUAAAUUUAGCUGAAGAAAACUUUGAUCAAACAAAUAAUUACAAACCUAGGUCUCGUAAUAUCAGUCAAAGUAGUGUGAAUGUUAUUAAUGAAGAGCUAGAACCUAUAAUUAAAUCUGCAAUUCGAUCCAAGUGGGAUAGUGACUAUGAAGAGUCAGAAGAAGAAAACAAACUUGAACAUGUUAAAGAAGCUAAACCUGUUGAACUUGAAUCUUUUCCUGAAUUUGUUGAACAGGACAACUCCAAAGUAAAACAUGAAAAUCUAGACAUUACCAACGAUAAUUUGGGUGUGGUACCAAUGGAAGUUGAAGAAGAUGAAAAAUUUGAAGAUAGAAGUGAUAGUAUGAAGUUUGUUGACAGCAAGAGAACAAGUGAAAAUUCAAUAGGAGUACAACAAGAAUCAGAGGAAGGAAAUAAAGCAGAUCCUCCUGAUGUUGUAGAGAAACUUGCCUCAGAAUAUGAAGAGUUCAUGAAGAUGCUAGGUUCUGAAAAUCAACCGGAUGAAACUGAAGAAGUAGAAAAAGUAGCUAAACUUGACGAUGCCAAUCUGGAGAAUAAGAAUAAUUGGGAAGAGGAAACUAGUGAAAGAGAAGAUUUUACUCACAAUGACUCUGUAUCAAUCACCGAUGAUUUACAAGUUCAAAAUGAUUCCCAAAUCCCAGAAGGGCAGUCUGAUGAGCCUAUUUUGGCAAUGGAAAAAGAUGUUUGGGAAAGAAAGAAAACAUUUUCGAAUAGAUCAAGAUCAGUUAGCUCUUCACGAUCUCUUGAUUUUAAAAAUAUUGAAGAGGCAAUAUUAUUAAAGCACAAAAUUCUUAACGAAGCUCUGCGCAAAAAGAAGAAAACCAAAGUACAAGGCUCUAAAAUAAAAAAGAAAUUGAAAGGUAAACUAAAAAAAUCCAAGAAACGCAAAAAACAAUCAAGCAGUGAGUCUUCAACUUCUUCUAGCUCCAGCUCAUCUUCAUCUUCAUCAUCUUCUUCCUCGUCUUCCAGUGAUGACUCUUCAAGUGAAUCUAGUUCAAGUUCUGGUAGUAGCUCAAGCUCAGACAGUUCCAUAGAUUUAAAAAAAUUGAAAAAACAUAAACUAAAAAAAUUGAAAGCUAAACUGAAGCGUAGGAAGAAAAAGAAACUUGAAUCAACUAGUGAUUCUUCUGAUUCUAGUAAUGAAGAAAGCAAAUUAAAAAAAAAAUUGAAGAGGAAGUCUAAAGACAGCAAAUCAAGAAAGAAAAAGAUUAAGGAAAAGACAUUAAAAGGAAAGAAAAACAAAAAAUCUAAAGAUAAAAUUCAUACUGAAGACGCUUUACUUGACUAUUCGGUUUUUAAGAAACGCCAGAAAAAGAAGAGAAAAAAAUAUGACAUUGAGGAGGAUACUGAAGAUGUUCCAACAAAGAAAAAAAGUAAACUAGAUGGUAAACUAGAAGAAGCAUCAAAAAUACAUAAGAAAAAUAAGACAGGAAAAUCUAAGAAAACCAAAGGUGGAAAGGAAAAGAAGAAAAAUGAUGAAGAAUUAAAAAAAGAUGAAAGCACACUAAAAGAGGAUGUUUCUAAAAAGAAAUCUUUGAAAGAUAGAUCAAAGUUUUUAGUCAUAGAUAGUGAAGAAAUUGAUAAGAAAUUGUUGAAAAUGAAAAACAAAGAUAAAAAACAGAAGAAAGGUGAGAAAAAACAAAAAGAUAUUUUUUUAGGGUUUGGAGAGAGCUUGAAACCCUCUAAAAACACUAAAUGCAUUGAUGACAUUAGUGAUAAAACAAAUAGCAUUAAAGUGAACAAGACUGGGAUAAAAAUGUCUGAAGAAGAUUUUGAAAUUCCCCUUAAAAGGCCUACUGAGUUUCAUAAAGAUGCAGAAAUAGAAGGAAAUGAAGAUGUCACUCAAAUUGAAAAUAGAGGAGAAAGAAUGUCUUUUUUAGGGCAAAGUAGGAGGUUGACUGAGGAGGACUUUGAAAAGGAAUUUAUUGAACAGGUCCCUACUGAAUCAGCCAAACUAGACAUAUUGAAAAACAAAGCAGAUAUUUUGCAAGAACCAAAGGAGCCAUUUAAGUCUCUAAAUGCAAUUGAGAAGAAAGAAAUUGACAAAUCUAAAAAGAAAUCAAAAAAAGAAAAGAAAAAGAAGAAAAGCAAAGAAAAAGGGAUAGAAAAGGAUGCUAGUGCUAUUAGAGUAGGAAAUAAAGAAACCAAGAAAAAGAAAAAGAAAAAGGAGAGAAAAUCAAAAAAGCCGGAUAUACUUAGCAAAGAACCAUUGAUACAAAAGAAACAUUUUGAUUCCAGUGUUGCAAUUCUUGAACAGUUUGCUCCACAAAAUGUGUCAAGUGGUUCUAAUAACAAACAUUCUGAUAUGUUACAUCCACUCUCUCAAGAAGAGACUGAUAAGAUGGAUCAGAACAAGUUUGGAGCUAAGGGUCAUGAAUGUGAUCGUGACCACUCUAACUCAAAGUUGAGUUUAUCUCCUUCAAGAAAAUGUGGACCAAUGAAUGACUGGAGUGAUGACAGUGAGACACGUGGAAGUUUUUUAAAACAGAUAAAGAAUAGGGAUGAAAAUGUGUCUGGUGAAGUCUUAGGCAGUAUUGUAAACAAAACAAUUGGUACGAUAGUCAAUAAAACAGUAAGUGAACUCACCUGCCCUAUGUUUGAUUCUCAAAGUGGUGAUGGAGAUGAUGAGACGUUCAGUUAUAAAAAACAGAAGAAGGGAGAGUGUGAGAGGAAAAUGGAACAACUAGAUGAAGACUUUCGAGUUGGUAGAAAAAGUAAAGAUCAAUCAAUAUUUUUUGAAAGGGAAGUUGAUUCUAUUGAAUCAAAUAACAAACUUCGUAGUAACAUUGCUGAGAAAUUGUCUAAAAAACAAAUGAGCAGUGGUUCUAGUCCAAAUGUAAGUGAGGACUUAAACUCUCAUAGUAAUAGCUUCAUUCUUGAGAAAGAGACGCAAACAAAAAAUAGUGUAAAAGGGAUUUGUGGAUUUUCUGAUUUUGAACACAUUAAUAAAGUAUCAGAAAAGUGUAUAAUAUUGAAAGAAAAUGAUCAUUCUGAAAGAUACAGUCCUACAUUGGACAUGGAUGCAAUUUCUCCCACCAGUAAUGAAAAGAUUAAUAGUGAUAUGUCAUUGGACAGUGAGCCAGAAAAUUCACAACUAAAUAAAAUUGAGUCUGGUAUAAAUAUGUUGGAUAUUCCUUUACCGCCUUGUGGAAUUCCAGUGCCAUCAAUGAUACCUCCACCACUUAUGCCUGUACCAGCACCAGUUCCACCUCCUGUUAUGCCUGUUCCUCCACCUACCUUCAAAAAUAUCCUAAAUUUGCCAUUAAAGUCAUCUUUAACAUCAGAACCCAAAACUAUAUCUAUUGUUGAAGAACAUUUGAAAAAUACUGAAUUUCAAACAACCGUGUCUGAGCUAACACCUAAUGCAGGUGCAAAGUCGUUAUUUGCAGAUCCUUUAAAAAUUCCAAUGACAAAGAAGCUGAAUUUUGGUAAACCUACUCCGAAACUGAAACCAAUAAACAUUUUUGAAGAUGAUGAAGUAGAAGAAGGAGAAGGAAGUGACCAACAGUGUUUAAGCAAAAUUCCUCUUGAUGUUCAUACCAAUCAGGAAAAAUCUAAUUUAGACACAGCUGUAGAGAAAGCUGAAAAGAGAUUGAGAGGUAAAAUACACCCUAGUAAAAUGGAUACACCAAUAGAAAAUUCACCAUCAUUGUUGGUCCACGAACAAGCUGUUCAAAUGAAAGAUAAAAAUAAUACUACCCUGCAAAUAAACGACUCUUUAAAACAACUCCAAGUUACUGGAAAUUUAACUUGUUCUCAAAAUCAAGCAGGUGAAUCUUUACUCAGUGAAAUAAUGAUAUCUCAAAAGACGAAUGAUCAAAACACAUUUCUUAAUUUGAUUUCUGCAAAUCCUGAUGUAGAAAAUGCAAGAGACUCUUGGGGUGAUACUGUGGAAGCAAUGACUGAUUUGAACAAUAUAAAGAGUAAUACUGGAAUAAAUAAUGACAAACAGAAAGAAGAUGUAGAUACACCUACAGAGGAGGUGACAGUUAAAGAAGAAAUCAUAUCUGAUGACCAGGAUAAUGAUGAAAAUAUUGAUAGUUCAAAUUUUGACUCAAACCUAGAAAUUAAACAAGAACCUGAGAGUGAUUUAUCUCAAGAAGUACCAAUAGAGAAAGUACAAACAGAUGAACAAGAUGUUGGGGAUGUAGAAAGAAGUAAAUAUUUUUCAGAAGAAGAAAGAAAAAAGAAGGAAUAUGAGGAUUAUCGUAGCUCAAGAAGAAGAGAAUCAUCUAGAGAGAGACGUGACAGGUCAAGGAGAGAUUCUUCAAGAGAUAAAGAUAGAAGAAGAAACCGAUCUCGUUCAAGAUCGAGAGAUAGAAGACGGGAUCGAUCUAGGGAAAGGCAUCGAAGGGACUCUCCAGAUAGAAGGAGUAGAAGACGAGAUAGAUCUAGAGACAGAAGUUUCAGAGGAUCCUCUCGAGAUAGACGGAGAGAGAAAAGUCCCAGAGGAAGAAGAGAUCCCUCAAAAGAACGAGAAAGAAGUCCAAGAAGAACAGAAAGUUUGAUUGAGAUUCGUUCUUCAACAUCUGAAAAACGUGAUACAAGCCGAAAUGACAGCAUAUUAGAGGAGAAAAGGACAACUGAAACAUCGAAGUUAAUAGUAGAAAAACACACAAAGCCGAAUAGUCCCCAUAGAUCUCUUAGUCCACAUAAAAACAAAAGCAGUCCUUACAGAUCUCCAAGUCCGUCAAAAAGAUCUAUUAGCCCAUUGCUGAAAUCACCUCUAUAUCAAAGGAGACCACACCUUUCUCAGAUGAACCGUUCACCAAGUCCUAAAAGAUUAAGCCCAUCAAAGAGAGCUUUGAAUAGAUCUCCAAGCCCCCGAAGACUACUCAGCCCUGCAAGACGACCUUCAAGUCCAAUUAGGAGACCCUUAAGUCCUCAAAGAAGACCUUUGAGCCCUCAGAGAAGACCUUUGAGCCCCCAGAGAAGACCUUCGAGUCCCCAAAGAAGACCUUCGAGUCCCCAAAGAAGACCUAUGAGCCCUCAAAGAAGACCUAUGAGCCCUCAAAGAAGACCUAUGAGCCCUCAAAGAAGACCUAUGAGCCCUCAAAGAAGACCUAUGAGCCCUCAAAGAAGACUUAUUAGUCCUCAAAGAAGACCCUUGAGUCCACAAAGGAGAGCUAGUCCUCAAAGAAGACCUGCAAGUCCGCAAAGAAGACCGCCUAGUCCUCAAAGUCCUUACAGAAGCCCAUAUAGGUCACCUAGUCCUUAUGUAAGGCAAAGUCCUUUGAAAUUGUCAAGCCCAACUAAAAGAUAUUUAAGUCCUUCAAGAAGAUCAUCUCAACAUCCAUGGCGUCCUCCAAGUCCACCUAAAAGGUCUUUAAGUCCAAAUAAACAUUCUCCAAGCCCAGGGAAAAGAUCAUCUAGUCCAUUAAGGAAGUCUUAUAGUCCACAGAGAAGACCACUUAGUCCUUGGAGACCUCCAAGCCCUCCCAAUACCCAAAAAGUUCCAAAAAAUUCCCAAUCUAAAUCACCUCAAAGAAGUCUAGAAUAUUCUGGAAGAAAUCCCUCACCGCUUGGAUUCAAACGGAGCUUAGCUGACUCUACAAUUAGUGAUUCAGACUUGCCUCCUAUUAAAAAAAUCACAAGAAGUGCUAUUCUCUCCCCCAAGAGGUUACCAUUGGAUGAUCGUAUAGAGCUUGAACUAGGAGUGAAAAAGAGCCCCCCUCCACCUCCCCCAUCUAGUUGCUACCCGGGAUACCAGUCUUUCUACCAGAUCCCGCUCCAUGAUGAUGGUCAAAUACAAAUGCAACCAGCUAGUCAGCAGCGGAGGAACACCAACCUGGUCCAACCUCCAAGACUUGAUUUGGAUGCUAGCCAGCAGCUUAUGAGGCAGGGAAAAUCUUCACAAGUUUUACAGUCGAUGCGAUGAACGAGCCUGGGCGAGACAAGUGCCAAGUUUUGUCAGGAUUUAUGACAGUUUCAUCAAGGAACUCAAAGUAAACCUCAUUCCGACUUAGCUGGUUCUAGACCUCUCUUGCUGAUGGUUGAGCUGUUUUCUGCUGAUUCAUUUUAUUGGUGCCAUCCAGAGAAGGUGUACGUUUUGUUUCAAGGUUUUGGCAUAUUGUAAGACAAUGAAGUUCUGCAACAUUGAAGCUAGAAGACG